rnacentral:lncRNA from 1 species
AUGCUGGCCGACCCCCGCAGACCUCGCGGUGAGCGACGCCAACCCUGCCUCCCUCUCCCAGGAGCGGACCAUGAAGAGUCUGGGGGCAGAAGGGAGGGGAGACGAGGAGGGAACGGCCGGGGGCUGCAGGGCACGCUGGGGUCGGCACCGACCGCUGGAGGGAGGCGAGUGGCUGCUUCUGGGGGGACAACAAGCGGCCGUGGAAAGCGGUGCCCGAGGCGGCGGGGGUUCGGUGGGUCGCACUCACCGACGACGCGCAGCACGUUCCGGGAGCGCCAGGUGCGCGGGACAGAGCGCCGGCCCAGCUGCGGAGCCCGCCCCGCCCCGCCCCGAGGACGCGUGCGCGCAGGCCCCGCCCCUCGCCCGGCCCCGCCCCUCGCUCCCCCUCCUCUGUGGUUCCUGCCGAGCCGGCUGCGGCGGCGAGAACCGGAGACCCCGAGCUGCGGCGUCAGGCCACCCCAUCACCGUCACCGCCCUUGUGCACGCGGAAGCCUGUCUUACAGACUCUGAGGAUUAGGACCAGGGACCAGCCGUCUGCAU